GAUGAACGCUGACAGAAUGCUUAACACAUGCAAGUCUUUGGCGAAGCUGUGCUUGCACAGCCUAGCCAAGGCGGACGGGUGAGUAACGCGUAAGGAACUUGCCCUGCAGUCAGGGAUAACAGACGGAAACGACUGAUAAGACCUGGUAAAGUCAGGCGGACUCAUGUCCAGCCUGAUGAAAAGUGAUGCUGCAGGAGAGCCUUGCGUCCUACUAGCUUGUUGGUGGGGUAACGGCCCACCAAGGCGAUGAUAGGUAGCCGGCCUGAGAGGGUGGACGGCCACAAGGGGACUGAGAUACGGCCCUUACUCCUACGGGAGGCAGCAGUGGGGAAUAUUGGACAAUGGGGGCAACCCUGAUCCAGCAAUUCUGUGUGCACGAUGAAGGUUUUCGGAUUGUAAAGGGCUUUCAGCAGGGAAGAAAAAAAUGACGGUACCUGCAGAAGAAGCGACGGCUAAAUACGUG
rnacentral:rRNA from 1 species